rnacentral:ncRNA from 2 species
CUCUUAUCAAGAGAAGGUGGAGGGACUGGCCCGAUGAAACCCGGCAACCGGACACGCGUCGCGGUGCUAAUUCCAGCAGGGAGUGAAACCCUGAUAGAUAAGAG